rnacentral:rRNA from 1 species
AUGGCAUGGUGGAGAAUAUGCAUUCCAAAAAAGGAUGGAGGUAUGGGCUUUCGCGAUUUGCAUUCUUUCAAUUUGGCUAUGUUAGCACAACAAUCAUGGAGACUGAUUUCAAACCCAGACUCUCUAUGCGCUAGAGUUCUUAAAGCCAAAUACUAUCCUAAUUGUAACUUGCUGAAGGCGGGCCCGAAGAAGGGUUUGCCGUGUACUUGGCAAAGUAUAGUGGCAGGCCUGUGUACUUUUCGCAGAGGGCACAUCUGGAGAGUGGGCUCGGGGGAGAUGAUUAACAUCUGGGAGGACCACUGGAUCCCAGAAAGUAUAAAUCGCAUGAUACAGACUCCCAGUGGACAAAUCUUACUGCAGAAUGUUAAUGUCAUCAUUGAUCUGAUGACCGGAUGA